AGCAAGAAAAAUGGUAGGCGAACCUAAUCUUUGACUUGGGUGUCUUUUAGUGGCACUCGCACCUCGGUGUUGGUGUUCUAUAAGUCAACUUUAGGCG
rnacentral:lncRNA from 1 species